rnacentral:snRNA from 1 species
AAUUCAUAGGCCUUUUGGCUAAGAUCAAGUGUAGUAUUUGUUUUUAUCAGUUUAAUAUCUGAUAUAUGGGCCAUGUAUCCACAGUGAUAGAGUGUGUUCAUAAUAAUAGCUUGCUAUUACAUGUGUCGCCUGAGUGUUGCACUAUGAGAGAAUUCCUUAUUUAACAGUCCAAAA